AUUGAACGCUGGCGGCAUGCUUUACACAUGCAAGUCGGACGAGUGGCGAACGGGUGAGUAAUAUAUCGGAACGUACCGAGUAAUGGGGGAUAACUGUCCGAAAGGACAGCUAAUACCGCAUAUUAUUCGAGCGGCCGAUGUCUGAUUAGCUGGUUGGCGGGGUAAAGGCCCACCAGGGCGACGAUCAGUAGCGGCUCUGAGAGGAUGAUCAGCCACACUGGGACUGAGACACGGCCCAGACUCCUACGGUAGGCAGCGGUGGGGAAUUUUUGACAAUGGGGACAAGCCUAAUCCAGCCAUGCAGCGUGUCAGAAGAAGGCCUUCGGGUUGUAAAGGACUUUUGUCAGGGAAGCGGUACAUGAAGAAUAAGCACCGGCUAACUACGUGCCAGCAGCCGCGGUAAUAC
rnacentral:rRNA from 1 species